AUGCUUCUCCUAAAGACUAAGCCAUGCAUGCCUAUGAAUAGAAGAGCUUUCUCUUUGAAUCUGCGAACGGCUCCGCAAACCAGUUGUAAACUAUAGCAAGCAUGUCUCGGUGACGGCCGCAAGGUCGACAUCGGGAUAAUAAGGAUAACCCUGGUAAUUCUGAGGCUAAUACAAGAACGUAACCCCUGGUCGACCGGGCAACUGGAAGGCCGGGGAACGUGCGAUGCAGCGCAAAGAUUGCUGGGAAUAGGUGCACGUUCAGACCACCAUACCAAACGGUUGGCCCGGAGCUUCGGCGAAAGGCUUCCUGGGUGGCUCUUGCUGUGUGCUUCUGACCUAUCAACUAGAUGGCAGCGUAACGGACAUGCUAUGGUGACAACGGGUACAGAGGAUAAGGGUUCGAUCCUGGAGAGUGGGCCUGAGAGAUUGCUCACACUUCUAAGGAAGGCAGCAGGCGCGCAACGUUCCCAUUGGCCAAAGGUCGAGGGCGUUAGGGGACAUAUGAAUGCCUGCCUCAUGGUGGGCAAUUCAAAUGGGUCUG
rnacentral:rRNA from 1 species